UACGUAGGGGGCAAGCGUUGUCCGGAAUCAUUGGGCGUAAAGAGCGUGUAGGCGGCCCGGUAAGUCCGCCGUGAAAGUCCAGGGCUCAACCCUGGAAUGCCGGUGGAAACUGCCGGGCUGGAGUCCGGAAGAGGCGAGUGGAAUUCCUGGUGUAGCGGUGAAAAUGCGCAGAUAUCAGGAGGAACACCAAUGGCGAAGGCAGCUCGCUGGGACGGUACUGACGCUGAGACGCGAAAGCGUGGGAGCAAACAGG
rnacentral:rRNA from 1 species